AUUGAACGCUGGCGGCGUGCCUAAUACAUGCAAGUCGAACGGAGUGGCGCACGGGCGGGUAAUUUAUAGCUAACUUGCCCAUUACUAAGGGACAAUAGCUGGUAACGACUGUUAAUACCUUAUAUUAAUGGAUAGAGCUAUAUCGUAUCAGUUAGCUGGUAAGGUAAGUGAUUACUAAGGCUAUGACGCGUAACUGGUCUGCGAGGAUGUACAGUCACACUGGAACGGAGGCACGGUCCGGACACCUACGGGAGGCAGCAGUAGGGAAUAGUGCUCAAUGGGGGAAACCCUGAAGCGGCAACGCGGCGUGGAGGAUGACACUUUUGGGGGCGUAAACUCCUUUUCUUGGGAAAGCGGUACCCAAGGAAUAAGCACCGGCUAACUCCGUGCCAGCAGCCGCGGUAAUAC
rnacentral:rRNA from 1 species